rnacentral:lncRNA from 1 species
CAAGACGUGCUUAAUAUACUCAGUGGUGACGAGGUGGCAGUAUUUGCAGUAGAAAGUGAGGUGGAAAUACUUCUUCUCAUAUUCCCUAGGCCUGAAGGAGAUGGACUGCUUGGUGGCGGGUUUGGCGCGAUGCUGGAGACGGCGGCAGCACCUAUGGCUGAAGAGGGUGGCAGCGGUUUGGCGCAGUGGGCUGCAAAUCGGUGGGGGCACACAGCGGUGGGCAGCGGCG